rnacentral:rRNA from 1 species
AUUGAACGCUGGCGGCAGGCCUAACACAUGCAAGUCGAACGAGUGGCGGACGGGUGCGUAAUGUCUGGGAAACUGCCCGAUGGAGGGGGAUAACUACUGGAAACGGUCGCUAAUACCGCAUACCAUCGGAUGUGCCCAGAGUGGAUUAGCUAGUAGGUGGGGUAACGGUUCACCUAGGCGACGAUCCCUAGCUGGUCUGAUAGGAUGACCAACGACAAUGGAACUGAGAAACGGUCCAGACUCCUACGGGAGGCGGCAGUGGGGAAUAUUGCACAAGGGGCGCAAGCCUGGUGCAGCCAGGCCGCGGGUAUGAAGAAGGCCUUCGGGUUGUAAAGUACUUGAAGCGAGAAGGCGUUACUAGCGGAAGAAAGACCGGCUAACUCCGUGCCAGCAGCAGCGGUAAUUC